UAGAUGUUGUUCGUUGCAUUGAAGAGAGAGGACAACAAGAAAUUGUUGGAUGUUUACCCGGGAUGAUUUUUUCAUUGCAUUGGAGGGAGAGGACAACAGGAGCAAGAGAGCAAGACUUGCUGGAUGUUUGCCCUGGUCGGGUAGACUAGCAGCCUGGAGGUAUGGAGAUACCUCGCAGCUUUGUUGAUGACUGGAUGCAAGGCAUGAUCAAGAGUAUGCCAGACGAUAAAUUUAUUUAGCUGAAUCCUCUUAUAUGAAGCAAGUGCAGAUUACAUAUAAGCGACAUGGAGCCACAUCCAUUGCCAAUAAGAUCAAUUUUUGCAUGGUCCAGGUGAGCCUCUUUAUGUCUCUCUUCUCCUCUUCACAUAUUCUCAGGUUCACAUCAUGUUCUGUUUUUUUUUUCUGAGUUUGAUUUCUUAUUCAGCUCUCUGUAUCUCCUUUUCUCAAGUGAUAUAUAGUAAGAUGAAUAAAUUAUGUUGAUCAAACUCAUAGAGCUUCUCAUUUCUGUUUGUGUAGAUUUUAUUUCUCUACGCCUACAUGGUAUUCGAUAAAUUCCAAGGAGGCCCGCCGCACCCCAAGCCCAGCUGAUGAUGGCAGCUCUGCGAGUCCUCUCCACGAAGAAGCCACGGGAGGAGCUCGGUGAAUGGUGUACAAUGGCAGCAUAGGGUGGACGACCGCAGCCUUAGCUGAUGGACAACGGUGGACAGUAGCAGUUUGUUUUCAUGGUUUGGAAUAUUCUGUAGCUAUACAAGAAGGUCAUCAUCACAGUAAUACUGAAAUAUUUUGGGUCAGUGGAAUGCCUGAAUGCAAUUUGAAUGACAGGUUCUUUUGGAGCUUUAGGAGCGAGCAACCAAAUUAGAGGCAAUAGAACUUGAUGAAUCAAAUUCAUCGGUAAGCUAUAGUACUCUCCUUUUCUGGUCAAGUCACAUUACAAUAGAACUUGAGCACAUCCAUUUUCUAUUUUGCCAACGGCGUGCACGCUUGGCCAGAUUUGAGAACGAUAGGAAUGUAUCAUUCAUACUUCCAUGAAGCUUUUGAUCUAAUCUAAUGGCAUACAGGCUCGGGGCUCAGUGAUGUAGAUGAAGUUUUGUCAGGACAAACGCUUGGUGAUUUCUGUUCUCUGCACUUCCAGUCUUC